CUGUCCAGGUUUUUCUACCUACGAACAUGGCGAACACCCACUGGUUCCUUGUGGUCGUAAACCCCAGAAGGAGGGAGAUUCAGAUUCUUGAUUCACUUUUCAGCUACGUAGUAACACAAGUGGUUCACGUGAUACGUGGGGUGGAAGCACAUCUGAGAGCAUCGCUGCGAAUCAAUGGACCACAAAGCCAUGCAUGGCAAGACAUUAACGUGACCCAAUGGACAGUAAAGCAUGUUCCUGUGCCAAGACAAGAUGACAAUUCUUCUUGUGCACUCUACAUGCUGAAGAACAUCGAAUUCUUUACGGGAGAAGAU